rnacentral:rRNA from 1 species
AACGAACGCUGGCGGCAGGCUUAACACAUGCAAGUCGAGCGCCUCGCAAGAGGAGCGGCAGACGGGUGAGUAACGCGUGGGAAUCUACCGUACCCUACGGAAUAGCUCUGGGAAACUGGAAGUAAUACCGUAUACGCCCUUUGGGGGAAAGAUUUAUCGGGGUAUGAUGAGCCCGCGUUGGAUUAGCUAGUUGGUGGGGUAAAGGCCUACCAAGGCGACGAUCCAUAGCUGGUCUGAGAGGAUGAUCAGCCACAUUGGGACUGAGACACGGCCCAAACUCCUACGGGAGGCAGCAGUGGGGAAUAUUGGACAAUGGCGCAAGCCUGAUCCAGCCAUGCCGCGUGAGUGAUGAAGGCCUUAGGAUUGUAAAGCUCUUUCACCGAUGAAGAUAAUGACGGUAGUCGGAGAAGAAGCCCCGGCUAACUUCGUGCCAGCAGCAGCCGCGG